rnacentral:tRNA from 1 species
GGGUCUGCAGCUCAAGUGGUUAUAGCGCUUCGGUUGAGUAGAUCCCGGUUCGAAUCCGGGCAGGCCCA